rnacentral:rRNA from 1 species
UGGUGGAGUAAUUUGUCUGGUUAAUUCCGUUAACGAACGAGACCUUAACCUGCUAAAUAGUUACAUGUAGCUUCGGCUACAUGGGCAACUUCUUAGAGGGACUUUGUGUGUCUAACGCAAGGAAGUUUGAGGCAAUAACA